GACGUAGGGCGCGAGCGUUGUCCGGAUUUAUUGGGCGUAAAGGGCUCGUAGGUGGCCAACUAAGUCAGACGUGAAAUCCCUCGGCUUAACCGGGGAACUGCGUCUGAUACUGGAUGGCUUGAGUUCGGGAGAGGGAUGCGGAAUUCCAGGUGUAGCGGUGAAAUGCGUAGAUAUCUGGAGGAACACCGGUGGCGAAGGCGGGUCUCUGGGCCGAUACUGACGCUGAGGAGCGAAAGCGUGGGGAGCGAACAGG
rnacentral:rRNA from 1 species